UACGGAAGGCAGCAGUGGGGAAUAUUGCACAAUGGGCGAAAGCCUGAUGCAGCUAUGCCGCGUGUAUGAAGAAGGCCUUAGGGUUGUAAAGUACUUUCAUCGGGGAGGAAAAAACAAAACUAAUAAUUUUAUUUCUUGACGUUACCCGAAAAAGAAGCACCGGCUAACUCCGUGCCAGCAGCCGCGGUAAUACGGAGGGUGCUAGCGUUAAUCAGAAUUACUGGGCGUAAAGAGCACGUAGGUGGUUUUUUUAAGUUCAGAUGUGAAUCCCUGGGCUUAACCUAGGAACUGCAUUUUGAAACUGAAAUACUAGAGUAUCGUAGAGGGAGGUAGAAUUCUAGGUGUAGCGGUGAAAUGCGUAGAUAUCUGGAGGAAUACCUGUGGCGAAAGCGGCCUCCUAAACGAAUACUGACACUGAGGUGCGAAAGCGUGGGGAGGCAAACAGGGAUUAGAUACC
rnacentral:rRNA from 1 species